rnacentral:rRNA from 1 species
CGUCCUACGGGAGGCAGCAGUGGGGGAUAUUGCACAAUGGGGGGAACCCUGAUGCAGCGACGCCGCGUGGGCGAGGGAGCGCCUCGGCGCGUAAAGCCCUUUCGGCGGGGGAGAACGAUGACGGUACCCGACGAAGAAGCACCGGCUAAAUACGUGCCAGCAGCCGCGGGAAUACGUAUGGGGCGAGCGUUGUCCGGAUUUACUGGGCGUGAAGGGGGCGCAGGCGGCGCGCCAAGCCCGAUGUGAAAGCCCGGGGCGCAACCCCGGGACUGCAUUGGGAACUGGCGGGCGGGAGUGCCGGAGGG